rnacentral:rRNA from 1 species
AUUGAACGCUGGCGGCGUGCCUAACACAUGCAAGUCGAGCGGUAACAGGUGUAGCAAUACAUGCUGACGAGCGGCGAACGGGUGAGUAAUGCUUCGGAAUCUACCUUAUGGUGGGGAAUAACUAGCCGAAAGGUUAGCUAAUACCGCAUACGUCCUACGGGAGAAAGCAGGGGAUCGCAAGACCUUGCGCCAAAAGAUGAGCCGAAGUCGGAUUAGCUAGUUGGUAGGGUAACGGCCUACCAAGGCGACGAUCCGUAGCUGGUCUGAGAGGACGACCAGCCACACUGGGACUGAGACACGGCCCAGACUCCUACGGGAGGCAGCAGUGGGGAAUAAUGGACAAUGGGGGAAACCCUGACUCAGCGACGCCGCGUGUGUGAAGAAGGCCUGCGGGUUGUAAAGCACUUUUAGUGGGGAUGAAAUGUGCAGGGUUAAUACCUCUGCAUUUUGACCUAACCCACAGAAAAAGCACCGGCUAACUCUGUGCCAGCCGCCGCAGUAA